rnacentral:rRNA from 1 species
GUGGGGAAUAUUGCACAAUGGGCGCAAGCCUGAUGCAGCAACGCCGCGUGAGGGACGACGGCCUUCGGGUUGUAAACCUCUUUUAGCAGGGAAGAAGCGAAAGUGACGGUACCCGCAGAAAAAGCACCGGCUAACUACGUGCCAGCAGCCGCGGUAAUACGUAGGGUGCAAGCGUUGUCCGGAAUUAUUGGGCGUAAAGAGCUCGUAGGCGGUUUGUCGCGUCUGCGGUGAAAACCCGAGGCUCAACCUCGGGCCUGCAGUGGGUACGGGCAGACUAGAGUGCGGUAGGGGGGAUUGGAAUUCCUGGUGUAGCGGUGGAAUGCGCAGAUAUCAGGAGGAACACCGAUGGCGAAGGCAGAUCUCUGGGCCGUAACUGACGCUGAGGAGCGAAAGCGUGGGGAGCGAACAGGAUUAGAAACCCGAGUAGUCC